AACGCUGGCGGCGCGCCUAACACAUGCAAGUCGAACGAGAAAGGGGAGCAAUCCCUGAGUACAGUGGCGUACGGGUGAGUAACACGUGGAUGAUCUACCUUUUAGUGGGGAAUAACUCUGGGAAACCGGAGAUAAUACCGCAUAAUCCCGAGAGGGGAAAGCAGCAAUGCGCUGAAAGAGGAGUCCGUGGCCGAUUAGCUAGUUGGCAGGGUAAAAGCCUACCAAGGCAAAGAUCGGUAGCCGGCCUGAGAGGGCACACGGCCACACUGGCACUGAAACACGGGCCAGACUCCUACGGGAGGCAGCAGUGGGGAAUCUUGCACAAUGGGGGAAACCCUGAUGCAGCGACGCCGCGUGAGCGAUGAAGCCCUUCGGGGUGUAAAGCUCUUUCGGCAGGGAAGAUAAUGACGGUACCUGCAGAAGCAGCUGCGGCUAACUACGUGCCAGCAGNCGCGGUAAUACGUAGGCAGCAAGCGUUGUUCGGAGUUACUGGGCGUAAAGGGUGUGUAGGCGGUUGUUUAAGUUUGGUGUGAAAUCUCCCGGCUCAACUGGGAGGGUGCGCCGAAUACUGAAUGACUUGGAGUGCGGGAGAGGAAAGUGGAAUUCCUGGUGUAGCGGUGAAAUGCGUAGAUAUCAGGAGGAACACCGGUGGUGUAGACGGCUUUCUGGACCGUAACUGACGCUGAGACACGAAAGCGUGGGUAGCAAACAG
rnacentral:rRNA from 1 species